AGAGUGGAAAAGCUUGGCCCUUUCCAAAGAUGUUGGGGAGAGGAGAAAAGUGGUGGAGAAGCCGUGCUGAAAGUCAUCACGAGGAGACAGCAGAAAAUCCUAUGAGCAGUGAGAUUCCAUCACCUCCAGUCAUAACAAAUGAAAAUACAACUUUCUGGGGUGAUCAGUAACUCCUGCCUGCACUGGGAAGUAAAAAUCUCUGUAUCUUCACUUCACAGCACUGAGGAACUUCCUGAAGUGGGAGUUUCUGGGCAGAGAGAAGCAAAGCAGUACCUUGGAACACCUUAAUCAUCAAGACCCAACAAAAACCAUCUUGGACCUUUCUGCUGUCUGAGAGAGGGGGAAUCUCUGGCCAAAUGAGUCCUCCCCUGUACCUACCACCAUAUGGAAGUGCUUUUCAAGAAACUGUUCCUUGAGGGUUUGGAAAGCAGAGGAAAUGAUUUUCAUGAUUGUUUUAGGACUUCAUAAGGAUGGAGAUAAAUUCUCUGCCUCACCCACAACUGACAGCUAGUGCAAGAGCCCAUGCCGACAGGAAAUUCAAAUUUUCUGCUGGAUAUCAACGUCAUCCCUGCUUAACUUUGGAAAGUGGGGUUAAAGGACGAGCUGUGGUUACAGUCUAUGGAAACUAAAAGCAUUGUUGCCUGA